AGACAGCGAGCGUAUGCUCCGCCGUGUC
rnacentral:sRNA from 1 species